rnacentral:tRNA from 1 species
AUUGAAGUAGCUAAAGUAAAGAGCGCUAUAUUGAAGCUAUAGAGGUGGUUAUACUCUUCAGUG